UACAGAGGUCUCAAGCGUUGUUCGGAUUCAUUGGGCGUAAAGGGUGCGUAGGUGGCGCCGUAAGUCAGGUGUGAAAUUUCGGAGCUUAACUCCGAAACUGCAUUUGAUACUGCGGUGCUUGAGGACUGGAGAGGAGACUGGAAUUCACGGUGUAGCAGUGAAAUGCGUAGAGAUCAUGAGGAAGACCAGUGGCGAAGGCGGGUCUCUGGACAGUUCCUGACACUGAGGCACGAAGGCCAGGGGAGCAAACGGG
rnacentral:rRNA from 1 species